AACGAACGCUGGCGGCAGGCUUAACACAUGCAAGUCGAACGCCCCGCAAGGGGAGUGGCAGACGGGUGAGUAACGCGUGGGAACCUACCCAAAGGUACGGAACAACCAAGGGAAACUUUGGCUAAUACCGUAUACGCCCUACGGGGGAAAGAUUUAUCGCCUUUGGACGGGCCCGCGUUGGAUUAGGUAGUUGGUGGGGUAACGGCCUACCAAGCCGACGAUCCAUAGCUGGUCUGAGAGGAUGAUCAGCCACACUGGGACUGAGACACGGCCCAGACUCCUACGGGAGGCAGCAGUGGGGAAUCUUGGACAAUGGGGGAAACCCUGAUCCAGCCAUGCCGCGUGAGUGAAGAAGGCCUUAGGGUUGUAAAGCUCUUUCGGCGGGGACGAUAAUGACGGUACCCGCAGAAGAAGCCCCGGCUAACUCCGCGCCAGCCGCCGCGGUAAUAC
rnacentral:rRNA from 1 species